rnacentral:tRNA from 1 species
GGAGGGAUGACCGAGUGGCCGAAGGUGCUCGCCUGCUAAGCGAGUAGGGGGUUACCGCCUCCUCGAGGGUUCAAAUCCCUCUCCCUCCG